GGCUUGCAAAGGGUGGGUGGGGUUGGUUUCCCCACCUGGUUUCUCUCCUAAGCCUCCUGACGGAUCAGCUUUUGUGAGCCCAGGGGAACGUGUUGGCUGCUGCUGAAGGAUGAUGUUCCUAUUGACUCUUCCCCCACACACACACACACCAAGUACAUUUGGGAAGAGUAGCAACACAUGGUAAGCGUUGGGAAUGAACAAUCCGUCCAGCUUCGCACAUUUCUCUUUUCCUCCAGCUGGGAAAUGGGCCUCAUCCAGAAAUGAGAGGGCCUGUGUGAAGGACCUAGCCUGGGUCACCCUUCAAACCAGAUGAGGAUGUUAGCUCCACUCUGUCACUCAACUCCCAGUUACGAAGCAAAACACACUAAAUGCAAGAAAUGGAGGCAAAUAAAAUUGUAUGCUGUGACAAACAGACAUCUUUCGCCACUUGAAGGAGCACCGUUUCUGAACACGUGCUAAAGAUUGACAUUUUAAAGAUUGUGGCCUGAAUCGCUUGAACCACAUCCUGUGUCCUUUUUGUGCCAAACCCUGCCUGGCUGCUGCUUUGCCUGUCUACUUACCGUUAUUGCGGGUGACUAAGCCAAACAGAGAUGAGAUUCCCUUAUGGCUUAUUGCUUUUCAUGCCGGCUGGCUUCGUUUGGUGAUAAAAGUCAGAGACAGGGAGAGGGCCGCUAUUCCCAGAACAAAAGGUCAUCUGUUUCCUUUCAGAGAAGUUGACUCUGGUUUCAUCUCUUUUUAAAUGAAGAACCGUGAUACAUUUUUAUCUGCCCUGUGGUGGAAGGAGAAAAGAGGG